AUAUUGCACAAUGGGCGCAAGCCUGAUGCAGCCAUGCCGCGUGUAUGAAGAAGGCCUUCGGGUUGUAAAGUACUUUCAGUCGUGAGGAAGGUGGUGUUGUUAAUAGCAGCAUCAUUUGACGUUAGCGACAGAAGAAGCACCGGCUAACUCCGUGCCAGCAGCCGCGGUAAUACGGAGGGUGCGAGCGUUAAUCGGAAUUACUGGGCGUAAAGCGCAUGCAGGUGGUUUGUUAAGUCAGAUGUGAAAGCCCGGGGCUCAACCUCGGAAUAGCAUUUGAAACUGGCAGACUAGAGUACUGUAGAGGGGGGUAGAAUUUCAGGUGUAGCGGUGAAAUGCGUAGAGAUCUGAAGGAAUACCGGUGGCGAAGGCGGCCCCCUGGACAGAUACUGACACUCAGAUGCGAAAGCGUGGGGAGCAAACAGGAUUAGAUACCCUGGUAGUCCACGCCGUAAACGAUGUCUACUUGGAGGUUGUGGCCUUGAGCCGUGGCUUUCGGAGCUAACGCGUUAAGUAGACCGCCUGGGGAGUACGGUCGCAAGAU
rnacentral:rRNA from 1 species